GACAGAGUGUCCAAACCUACCUCUGCAAAGCAGCCCAGGAUUUCACAGAAAGCUGUAGUCUUGCAUGAAGAACAAGCAGAUAUUGCAGUUGAGCCUGCAUGCUCUAUAACUGUGCCAGAUUCUCCUACAAAAGCUGAAUUAAAGAUGGAGAUCAUAAAUCUUAAAGAAAAACUCAGUAGCCUGAUGGAAGAGCUCAAAAAGAAGGAAACAAAAAAGCGUAGCAGAAACAGAAGGAGCCAAAAAAAAAAACAAAAAAA